rnacentral:rRNA from 1 species
UAGAUACCCGUCUAUUCAUGACAUAAAAUACAGUCAAAUAUUACGAACAACAGUUUAAAAUUCAAAGAUUUUGGCGGUGUCUUAUAAAAUCAGGGGAACCUGUCCCAUAAAUCGAUAAUCCACGCAUACCCAACCUUCUCUAGACUACAGCCUGUAUACUGCCGUUGUAAGUAUACCUCUAAAAGAAUAAGUAUACCACUAUGAUCUCAUAUACAUCAGGUCAAAGUGCAGCCAAUAAGAAGGUGUUGAUGGGUUACAACCACAAAAAAGACUAUCAAUUAAGAAAUAAAAAAUCUUAUGAAAGUGGACUUGACUGUAAUUAAAAAAUAAUAUAACAAAAUGAAUAACUAUCUAAGACAUGCACACAUCGCCCGUCACUCUACCCUAAAGGCUAGAUAAUCGU